rnacentral:rRNA from 1 species
AGGACGAACGCUGGCGGCGUGCUUAACACAUGCAAGUCGAGCGGAAAGGCCCUUCGGGGUACUCGAGCGGCGAACGGGUGAGUAACACGUGAGUAAUCUGCCCCUAGCUCUGGGAUAGCUCCGGGAAACCGGGAUUAAUACCAGAUACGACCACUUUAGACAUCUGCUGUGGUGGAAAGAAUUUCGGCUAGGGAUGAGCUCGCGGCCUAUCAGCUUGUUGGUGAGGUAACGGCUCACCAAGGCGACGACGGGUAGCCGGCCUGAGAGGGCGACCGGCCACACUGGGACUGAGACACGGCCCAGACUCCUACGGGAGGCAGCAGUGGGGAAUAUUGCGCAAUGGGCGAAAGCCUGACGCAGCGACGCCGCGUGGGGGAUGAAGGCCUUCGGGUUGUAACCCUUUCAGCAGGGACGAAGCGAAAGUGACGGUACCUGCAGAAGAAGCGCCGGCUAACUACGUGCCAGCAGCCGC